CGCCCCUGGCCGGGCGGUACCCGGAAAACUGUCCGCCGGAGCCAGCGCGGCGAAGCAUGGCCAUGGCGGCGGCGCCGGCCGUGUGCGUCUCGCAGGGCCCCCCGCCCGGGGCCGCGUCCCCGCCGGCCGCCGCGCCCGCGCCCUCGUCGGGCCUGGGCCGCUGCCGCGUGGCGCUGCUGCUGGCCGUGGCGCUGGACGUGGCGGGCAUGGCGGCGCUGCUGACCGGCGUGUUCGCGCAGCUGCAGGUGCGCGGCCGCGACUUCGGCGACCUGCUCAUCUACUCGGGCGCGCUGCUCGUCUUCAUGAGCCUGCUGGGCUGGAUCCUCUGGUACACGGGCAACAUCGAGAUCUCCCGCCAGGAGCUCGAGCGCGACUACGGCCUGCGGCCCUCGGCGCUCGCCCGCCUGGCGCGCAAGCUGUCCCGCCGCUGGUCGGCGCCCGCCUCCUCCGCCGCCGGCCAGCGCGCCGCGCCCGGAGCCCGGGGAGCCUGCCGCGCCCCGCGCGCGCCCCAGCCCGGCGCCGGCUCCCGCCGCGUGCGCUUACAGCUCGCCACGCUCGAGGCCGCGCCCGGGGCGCCGGGCACCGGCAGCGAGUGAGCCCGAGCCUGCACUCCUGUCCCCGAAGACCUGCUGUGGGUCCCCGUCGCCCUCUGGUGACACCCACUCCAGUCACGGACACGUGGGCCCGCUCUGUCUCCUCGCCACAUCUCCUGCCUUCUCUGCGGUCAUGACAACAUCCCUCAGACCACGACAGCCAGGCUCUCACGCCCGUUGGCGUCUGGCCCUGCUCUCCCUGCCGCAGGACUGGCCCUGCUCCACAGAACACUUCCCAUGUGUCCUUUAAGGUCCAGCUCAACCUCGCUGCCUUUCUCUGGGUCUUCAUAUUACGAAGCCAAGGAUGCACCUGAGAGGACCCGACUGGGAUGCAGCUGCCCCCACAUCACCUGGCCGCCGGGAUGCCGCCCUGCGCUCCUUUGUCACCCGCAUAAAUGACUGCUUCCUA